UUACGGCCAUACCACGUUGAAAUACCAGUUCUCAUCCAAACACUGAAGUUAAGCUACGUUGAACCUGGAAAGUACCUAGAUGGGUGAUCGCUGGCGAACUUCAGAUGC